CAGCAGCCGCCUCGGGAAUACAGAGGGUGCGAGCGUUAAUCGGAUUUACUGGGCGUAAAGCGUGCGUAGGCGGCUUUUUAAGUCGGAUGUGAAAUCCCUGAGCUUAACUUAGGAAUUGCAUUCGAUACUGGGAAGCUAGAGUAUGGGAGAGGAUGGUAGAAUUCCAGGUGUAGCGGUGAAAUGCGUAGAGAUCUGGAGGAAUACCGAUGGCGAAGGCAGCCAUCUGGCCUAAUACUGACGCUGAGGUACGAAAGCAUGGGGAGCAAACAGGAUUAGAUACCCCUGUAGUCCCUGUCUCUUAUAA
rnacentral:rRNA from 1 species